CUAGUACUUCCUCCGUUCGGAAUUACUUGUCGCAGAAAUGAAUGUAUCUAGACGUAUUUUAGUUCUAAAUAUAUCUAUUUCCAAGACAAAUAAUUCCGAACGGAGGGAGUAUUUC
rfam:Triticum aestivum genome assembly, contig: Triticum_aestivum_CS42_TGACv1_scaffold_230551_3B